UACAGAGGUCUCAAGCGUUGUUCGGAUUCAUUGGGCGUAAAGGGUGCGUAGGUGGCGCCGUAAGUCGGGUGUGAAAUUUCGGAGCUUAACUCCGAAACUGCAUUCGAUACUGCGGUGCUUUGAGGACUGGAGAGGAGACUGGAAUUCAUGGUGUAGCAGUGAAAUGCGUAGAGAUCAUGAGGAAGACCAGUGGCGAAGGCGGGUCUCUGGACAGUUCCUGACACUGAGACACGAAGGCCAGGGGAGCAAACGGGG
rnacentral:rRNA from 1 species